rnacentral:rRNA from 1 species
UACGAGUGCCCCAAGCGUUAUCCGGAAUCAUUGGGCGUAAAGGGCGCGUAGGCGGCUCUGCACGUUCGUUGUGAAAUCGCCCGGCUCAACUGGGCGGGGUCAGCGGAUACGGCGGAGCUUGAGCAAGCUAGGGGGCAAUGGAAUUCCCGGUGUAGUGGUGGAAUGCGUAGAUAUCGGGAGGAACACCAGUGGCGAAGGCGGUUGCCUGGGGCUUUGCUGACGCUGAUGCGCGAAAGCGUGGGGAGCGAUCCGG